UCAGGGGUCGAACUGAAUCUGCGCUUGUGCGGAACAGCCUUAAGUCACUGCUACAGGGAUAGGCUUCAAUCAUCGAUAUAUGCAUGCGCUGAUCCUUCCUCCCAGGUGACUUCCCUAGGUCAGCGAAAAAAAAAACUCACCAGAUGGUAAAGUCACUUACCUGAGGUACUCGGAAACAAAUGUAAUGGCGUUAAAAGAAAAAAGGACAUCAGAGAAAAUGAAGUCUCCUAUUCAUUGUCUCCAGUGGAUCAAAGGUGGUGUCAUGGAUGAAGUGUUGAUCUUGAAAUUGGGAAGAUUUGGGUUUGAAUCCUGCUUCAGAUAUCCUGCUCCCUGAAUGUAAGGUAAGCAACACUGGAGAAAGUUUAUCCAGUGUGCACAGUGAUUGGAGGCAGGAAUGCUACCAAGAAAAGGGUUAAAAUAAUGUAGAUGUUUUAGUUUUGUGAAAAUGACCUGGGGGUUUAGUGAACCCCACAUCAUCAGGGUGACAUGGCAGCUACCCAUCAAAAAGUGAGUGUUACCUGAGGCUGCACUGAGUGGAAAACUGUUGAGAAUGAGGAAAGUGACAGUUUAGCUCUCCUUUGCCAUGGCCAUGAAUCCUUGGUAGGUAUGGCUCUAGGCAAUCGCUUCAACAGGUUUUCAGAUGACAUGGUCUCUAGGCCUCUCAGUAUCAUGGAAGCCCACACUAUAAUGUCAGUCAGUGAGUCAAUAAGCUUCUUUUUAGCACCUACUAUGUGCUAGGUGCUGUGUUAAGUCCUGGGGAUACAAAGCAAGACUAAAGAUGAUCCCUGUCUUAAAGGAGCUCCCAAUCUAAUGUGCCUUGCACUUGUCAGUAUUCUUCUUAAAAUCAAGUUCUCAUAGUGCCUCCAGUUUGGUCUGAUCAAGGCAGAGAGCAGGAGUAAUCACCUCCCAUGUCUUGGGUACUUUGUUGGCCUUCUAUUAGCUCUGAGUUGAUAGCAUCAGUUUGGGGGCUGUACCAUCCCAUCAUUUACCAGACACUAAGACUGCCCAUAACAUUCUCCAUUCUUUUGGAAUCUUUACUUCUCUGAAAUAUCACACAACUUGUUUUACCAGUGCCUUUAAUCAUGUGCCACUUCCAGUCUGGAAUUCAUUGAUGGGUCCUUAUUUGAGUCUAGCCUCUUCCCCCAAUUCCAUCUUAGGCACCAUUGGUGCUCACUCAGGCAGCAUAUUUCGUGCCAGUAUUGAGAGUCCAAGAUCACUGGUUCCAUAUUGUUGCUGAUGAGAUAGCAUUGUUAUGGAAUUUUCCUUAGAUUGAGCCUUCAUUUUUAUCCUCCUGGAAGGUUCUGCUUCUCUGAGCCUCUCAGUAACUCUGCAGCCUUGUUUUCCCCUCAGUUGAUUUUUUUUUCUUGUGACAUGUUACUCCUCAUCAUUUUCCGUUAUCUUCCUCUGAAUUGUUUUCCAAAUAAGCUAAUCCUCUAUACGGGGGCUACAAGUUUUUCUUUUAAACUUCAGUUGCUCUUUAUUCCUAUUUCUUUCCCCUUGGCAAAGAUAUCAGAGGCUUCAUGACCAAUACAAUUUCUAGACUUUUCUGCCCAGUGCAUUGUGGUAACCCUCGUACAUUGGUUCAAGCUAUCCAAGAAAUGGAGAUACUCAGUGUAUUUCUUAUUGUUCAUUUUGUAUUUUCUGAAUAAACAGAUUGCUUACAGAUUGAGUGUGUUAUUCAACAGGUUAGAAGGUUAGAGGUGUAGUGAUGCCAUGUGGUAUCUUAUCUGGGUCCUUCCUUUGGACCUGGUAUGGAUUUUAACUUUUGCUAGGACAAAUUCACAUUCUGCACACAAUCAGCUGGUUCUGAACCUUCUCCUACAUAACCCUUUUAGAUACAUUCCAUUUCUUUUUUUUGGGGGGGAGAGGAAGGAUGCUGAUUGUGCUUUGUGUUCUUCCUGCAGCAACUUCCAACUCUUCCUGAAGAAAUUCAUGCUUUGUAGGCACAAGACUUCAUAGCUGAUUAUAUUCUCUUGCCUCCUUCUUUUCUAUAUGUUGAAUCAUGCUUUCUGUCUUAGAUUUGGGGAUGCUAUCUUUGCUUUGACAUCAUUGCUUGUUAUAGGUGUUAUAAGGAUGAUCUUAGAAAUUAGGUCUUAUUACAUUAGUUUAGAGAUACGGAGUAGAGAAACUGGCUUGAGAAAGAAUUGGAGUUUGGAACAGUUUCAAAUGUUGACAGUGUGUGUGGGAGGUGUAACAGUUUUUCUGUGGUAGUUGGUCUCUCUGGGUGUGACAGUCUCUGGAAGUGGCAGUUGGGUUCUCUUGUAGUGCUGGGAGCAGGUGACAUCUUUUCUCUCCUUGCUGUCUGAAGAAGGAAAGGAGGGAAAAACCUGAAGGAGCUCAGUGAUUUUCCUUUUCCAACUUGUGAGACACUAGUGACUGUCUAGUGCUGUUUCAUAAAUUGUUUUAUCUCUGAGAAGGCCAAAGAAAAACCUGGUCUUUGGUUUGGACUCUAUGUCUACUAUGGCUCAGAGUCCUAACUUGGUUUUUGCUGAAGCUCAGUCAGCUAAUUUGGAGACAAAGUUAAGAAUUAUAUACUUCUUAUAAGGAAAAUAGUGUUAGUUUAUUGUAGAAUGGGGAAAAUUUGGGUUAGUUAGAUCAGGAAAUUUCAGUAUAGCCUGUGAAAACAGGAGAAGUGGCUCCUUACUGACCCAGGGAGUUUUCUUUGGGUAGAGUUAGAAUUCUUUAGAAUUAGAAAUCCUUUUAUAUCCUUAUAUUCUCAAUAAAUAUUUUAUUUUGGUAUAACAAGAGUCUCUUUAGCAUUCUUGCACCUGGCCCUGAAGAGAAGUUCACUUAUGAACUUAUAUAAGUUCACUUAUAUAAACUGAAGAUACUUUGUAAGCACAGCAAGCAGAGUAUCUAAUCAGUUUAUAUCCAUAAUCAAUUCAUUGACAUAUUUUUUUACAGUGUGAAGAUAGAUUAACUCUCCCCUUAUCUAUUUUUAGGUAAACAAAUAAAGAACUUAAAGUACCCCUACUUGACACUAAGUAAGAGAGUUUGGCAAGUCACUUGAUAGAGUGAGUGACAACUCCAGAGGCCACUGCCUUGCCCCUUGGCAUUGAAAAAUUUCAAUUGGUUCCCAUAAAGUGGGGAAGGGACAGGAAGUGAUGUGGAUAAAGAACUAUAAAAAGUCCUGAACUUCCUGUCCAAGGAACUUCUCCUUUGAACUGCUUCUCCUUUGGAGUUAAUCUUUGGACUCUGCAUUGGUGAGCUGAACUGAAGGAGGAGACUCUUUCCCUGGAUCCUGUGUUGGCUUGCUGGGUGAGUAGCUGGCUUUCCUUUCUUGGCUUCUGGAGAGAUUGGUUCCUGACAAGCCUUCCUUUCCUGGAGGAGGCUGCAUUGGUGGAACCCUUCCUGAAGGCACUACUGGGACUCCUGGCUUAAGAGACUAACAGGAUUCCACGUGGAGAUUGGGACUUUAGUGCCCUUGCCAGGUGGUGAGCUGGACUUCUUCAGGCAGAAAUUCUAAGGUAUCUAGCCAGGCAAUACUUUCUACUUCCUUCCUACAUUUCUCUCUUUUACUAUAUAUAUAUCUCUAUUAAAUUAAAUUGUUAAGAGUGGCUAACAGACGCGUGACUCAAGAGUUAAUUUUUUUAAAUUGGCAACCACAAUAUUACUUUAGAACUUUCAUAUUAACAUAAAACUUAAAUUUAAAUUCUUACACAGGUAAAUGGGUUUCCUGCUAAGUUCUUCCUGGCAUUUCUCUGUUGACAUAUUGUCUGCAAUAGGCAUUGGAACACAAGGUGUUGUCAUCUUUAUGGUGAUCUGUCUGCUUACAACCAUCACAGAUGCUAAAAAGGCAGCUCACCCUCUAACCUGGGGAAGGAUUGUUCUUUUUUUUAACUUCGGGGGACCC